GCUACAAUGGCGUUGACAGAGGGACGCGAAGGGGCGACUUGGAGCAAAUCCCGAAAAACCGUCUCAGUUCGGAUUGCACUCUGCAACUCGGGUGCAUGAAGGCGGAAUCGCUAGUAAUCGUGGAUCAGCAUGCCACGGUGAAUACGUUCCCGGGCCUUGUACACACCGCCCGUCACACCAUGGGAGUUGGUCUUACCCGACGGCGCUGCG
rnacentral:rRNA from 1 species